rnacentral:rRNA from 1 species
CCUACGGGAGGCAGCAGUGGGGAAUAUUGCACAAUGGGGGAAACCCUGACGCAGCGACGCCGCGUGAGUGAUGAAGUAAUUCGUUACGUAAAGCUCUAUCAGCAGGGAAGAAAGUGACGGUUCCUGAGUAACAAGCAACUGAUAACUACGUGACAGCAACCGCGGUAAUACGGAGGGGGCGAGCCUUAGCCGGAAUUACUGGGUGUAAAGGGAGCGUAGAUGGCAUGUCAAGUCAGGAGUGAACGGCGGGCGCUCAACCUGCGGACUGCCUUGGAAACUGUACGGCUGGAGUGCAUGAGAGGAUAGUGGAAUUCCUAGUGUAGCAGUGAAAUGCGUAGAUAUUAGGAGGAACAUCAGUGGCGAAGGCGACUUACUGGACUAUAACUGACGUUGAGGAGCGAAAGCGUGGGUAGCAAACAGGAUUAGAUACCCGUGUAGUC